CACGUAGGGCGCAAGCGUUGUCCGGAAUUAUUGGGCGUAAAGAGCUCGUAGGCGGUCUGUUGCGUCCGCUGUGAAAACUCGGGGCUUAACCCCGAGCCUGCAGUGGAUACGGGCAGACUAGAGGUAGGUAGGGGAGAAUGGAAUUCCCGGUGUAGCGGUGAAAUGCGUAGAUAUCGGAAGGAACACCAGUGGCGAAAGCGACUUCCUGGUCCAGCAUCGACGUUCAGGCACGAAAGCGUGGGGAGCAAACAGG
rnacentral:rRNA from 1 species